rnacentral:misc_RNA from 1 species
UUUUUCUAGGUCAAGAGUUUGUCGAAUCCUUUUGAGGCGUAUUUUCGUGGUUAUGUUCUCCAUUUCUUGGAUGAACUUGCAAAGAUGGCGGAUGUAGUCGGGAUAAAGCUCUAAGUUGCAGUGCCCUCCUCCUUUUAUCCAUAGAGGGUCGUACGGUUCUCUCGACAUUUUCCAUAAUCCAUUUCCAUGGAGCCAAUUGACAACAUCAUCUUCUGUGCCAUGUAUCACAAGCACAGGGCACUUCACCUUCUUGAUUUUGUUAAUGUUCUUAUAAAUGUCGAAACAAAAGGUGAACUUCACGUGGCAUAGAACUCGUAGA